rnacentral:other from 1 species
GAAAUCCUGAAAUGUACGUUAAGGUUUUUAAUUCAACCUACACUGUGACCUUGGGAAUCCGAGUCUUUGCAGCCUAUGUCAGGCCUCCUUAGCAGUGGAAGACAGAAGCGGAAGCAGGAUACCCCCCUAUCUACGAUAGGGUGUGAAUUAUGACCUGACGGCAUGUCGGGAUUUUU